rnacentral:rRNA from 1 species
AGUGAACGCUGGCGGUAGGCCUAACAUAUGCAAGUCGAACGGCAGCACAGUAAGAGCUUGCUCUUACGGGUGGCGAGUGGCGGACGGGUGAGGAAUACAUCGGAAUCUACUUUUUCGUGGGGGAUAACGUAGGGAAACUUACGCUAAUACCGCAUACGACCUACGGGUGAAAGCAGGGGAUCUUCGUACCUUGCGCGAUUGAAUGAGCCGAUGUCGGAUUAGCUAGUUGGCGGGGUAAAGGCCCACCAAGGCGACGAUCCGUAGCUGGUCUGAGAGGAUGAUCAGCCACACUGGAACUGAGACACGGUCCAGACUCCUACGGGAGGCAGCAGUGGGGAAUAUUGGACAAUGGGCGCAAGCCUGAUCCAGCCAUACCGCGUGGGUGAAGAAGGCCUUCGGGUUGUAAAGCCCUUUUGUUGGGAAAGAAAAGCAGCAGGUUAAUACCCCGCUGUUCUGACGGUACCCAAAGAAUAAGCACCGGCUAACUUCGUG